rnacentral:rRNA from 1 species
GGUUUGGGAAGUAAAAAAUCGUAACAAGGUCUCCGUUGGUGAACCAGCGGAGGGAUCAUUACAGAGUUAUCCAACUCCCAAACCCAUGUGAACUUAUCUCUUUGUUGCCUCGGCGCAAGCUACCCGGGACCUCGCGCCCCGGGGGGCCCGCCGGCGGACAAACCAAACUCUGUUAUCUUCGUUGAUUAUCUGAGUGUCUUAUUUAAUAAGUCAAAACUUUCAACAACGGAUCUCUUGGUUCUGGCAUCGAUGAAGAACGCAGCGAAAUGCGAUAAGUAAUGUGAAUUGCAGAAUUCAGUGAAUCAUCGAAUCUUUGAACGCACAUUGCGCCCAUUAGUAUUCUAGUGGGCAUGCCUGUUCGAGCGUCAUUUCAACCCCUAAGCACAGCUUAUUGUUGGGACUCUACGGCUUCGUAGUUCCCCAAAGACAUUGGCGGAGUGGCAGCAGUCCUCUGAGCGUAGUAAUUCUUUAUCUCGCUUUUGUUAGGCGCUGCCCCCCCGGCCGUAAAACCCCCAAUUUUUUCUGGUUGACCUCGGAUCAGGUAGGAAUACCCGCUGAACUUAAGCAUAUCAAUAAGCGGAGGAA